rnacentral:rRNA from 1 species
GACGAACCACCCAAACGUUAUUCGGAAUUACUGGGCUUAAAGAGUGCGUAGGCGGCCUUGUAAGUAGGGUGUGAAAUCCCACAGCUCAACUGUGGAACUGCGCUCUAAACUACAUGGCUAGAGGGAUAUAGAGGUGAGCGGAACUGAUGGUGGAGCGGUGAAAUGCGUUGAUAUCAUCAGGAACACCGGAGGCGAAGGCGGCUCACUGGGUAUCUUCUGACGCUGAGGUACGAAAGCUAGGGGAGCGAACGGGAUUAGAAACCCCCGUAGUCC